UACGGGGGGAGCAAGCGUUGUUCGGAUUUACUGGGCGUAAAGGGCGCGUAGGCGGCCACGACAAGUCACUUGUGAAAUCUCCGGGCUUAACUCGGAACGGUCAAGUGAUACUGUCGGGCUAGAGUGCAGAAGGGGCAACUGGAAUUCUUGGUGUAGCGGUGAAAUGCGUAGAUAUCAAGAGGAACACCUGCGGCGAAGGCGGGUUGCUGGGCCGACACUGACGCUGAUGCGCGAAAGCGUGGGGAGCAAACAGG
rnacentral:rRNA from 1 species